rnacentral:lncRNA from 1 species
ACGCGCCCGGAGAGCCGCUCCGCCCUUUCCUCGGCUUGGCUCCCGCCGGCCCCCGCCUCCCAGGCCAGCGGCCCAGACAGAAACAGAUUAUUGGCCGAGGAAAAACCAAUUUCGCUCUAAAGGAUAAGCAACAAAAUACUGAGGGGGGAAAAAGCCUACACAAAUGGAAACAUACGGCACAAAAUCAAGGAGCGACCAGUUCCGCAUGGUUACACUAAAAUGCACUGCACUCCCACUCUCUGGCUUGGCUGAAGAUAACCAGCAAGCUCUGAACAGUUUAAAAGCCUUCCAAGGACUGCAGCAGCACUGGACACACAAGAGAGUCGAGAACAGUAUUGGAUUUAUUGUUAGGGUUACAAUUUUCACGAUCUUUGCAUGCAAAACUUGCCACUCUGAGCCCAGUGAACUAUUUUUAUUUGGUUUACUUACUGGCUUUCUGGAUGACUAGGUAGAGCUUUAACUAAAGAACACUUCUGCUGUGGUCUGUGAUGAUGAAUUUUCCCGUAGUGUCAUUUCUAUAAUGGAAUAGGCAAACUGACCAUUUAGAAUGUGAUAUUCCUAAAUCACAUUCAAAUCAGUCUUAUCAGAGACUUCUAAUCAAUAAAAAUAAAGCACCAGAUGGCUAGAGGUAGUUUUUGACCUCAGCUUGGGCCUCAGCAAAGAUUUUUUGUGUUUUUUUUAACUACAUUAAAACAUCAGAGUUUAAGACACUUUUCUUUGAGCAUCAGAAAUACUCUCAGCUGAAUUUAGAGUUGAACUAUCCGGAAGAACCCUGGAGAAGGAGGGUGAUUUAUUUUCAACUUUCUGAUUUACCACCGACUUAAAUCAACCAAUGAGUUCUUUCUUUGACCAAAAAAAAAAAAAAAAAAAAAAAAAAAAAAAAAAAAAUUCAAGACUUGUGAUGUUUCUAUUUGUUUUGUUUUGUUUAGUUUGGUGUGUGCUUACUCAUUGUCCCAUUCUUUUGAUAACCUGUAUUUAUCUGCCACAAGUUAAACAAAAAUAAAUGAAAUAAGGAACACACCAAAAUCCUGCACUUAGGCCCUGUAUAGACAGUGUGUUCCAAACCUAAGGAGGUGUCUGCAACAGGGGAGGCUGCUGAGUGACUCUGCAGAGAACAGAUGACAUCUGUUAAAUGUCAAACACCAUCACGUCGUACUUCAAGUUGUACUUUACUUGGAACAUGGAAGCCAUCUGUCUGGAGCUCCCACAUCCAUUUCAAAUCUUCAGGGUUCCCCAUUCCAGGGGAGGAGCUGAACCUCCUGACACCGUCCACUUCCCUCCUGCCUCCUUCAAACAUCAUCCCUUUUUUCUCCCGAAUCCCUAAAUGUUUCUGCACCCAAGGGCUCUACCCCAAUAAACACAGCUAAGACUCUUUGAUUCUUAAAAUGUCUUCCUUUAACGUCCCACCCUCCAGAAUCUAUUGUCGUAUGUUUUGUUCACCAAAGGUAAUAAAAAUAAAUGUGGAUUUUGGUGCCGUUAUUUUUCAAAAAAAGCUAUAUAUUAAUAGUUUUUC